CAGAGUAGGCACACUGCGUUAAGUGCUGAAAGAUGGGAAGUUGCUUUCAGACGAAAAGGGUAAUCCUUGCGGUGGUGUUCCGCGUCCGCUGU
rnacentral:ncRNA from 2 species